CCUGUCAUCGACAGGACGGAAUGUGGCCGGGCUCCCGGCUGAACCACCCA
ncrna:unclassified sequences eL15-Euryarchaeota ribosomal protein leader